UUGAAUAUGAUGCAAUCAUUAAAUUUUUUAACAUCAGUCGUCGUUAUAUUUCUCGAGUGUAAUUGAAAUACUAACUACGACAUGGCUAACUCGCCUUUGAAUCUGUCAUCGAAGCGUAUCAAGUACUAGUCCCUUCUCCAGAUUUCACGCAAAAAUUAUCAUACAAGUGCAGUAGUGAACAAAAUAAAUAAUGCUGGAAUCAUGGAUUACCUGAGACUAUUUGUCUUACACGUUUGAUUCUUGUUUUAUUUAUCCUUGAUUCGAUUUGAUACUCAUCUGAUCAACUUAAGAGAGUUAAGUAUAAGUAUCUACAAAUACUGCGAUACUUAAAUUAAAAAUAUCACAUAAUAAGAACAUAUGCGCCAAGAAAAUACAAAUUAUUUUCAUAUUAAAAUUGCAACUUUUGUUUUAGUUUGGUAAAUUGAAAAUGUCAGUAUACUUCAAAGUUUAGUAUAAUAUAUUAAACUUAUAUUAAUCAUAUUAUGAUUAAUGUAAUGAAUCUCAUAUUGAUUCGCUUAAUAUUUUACUAUAAAACGGAUUCAAAAUAUAACAAUAAUGAUUAAAUAUUGAUUUAUAUCUAAAAGGCAACAUAAAUUUGCCAAUUAUCAAUACCUUUAUUAAUUCGUAAUCUAGAAUCGAGAGAUUUGGCAAAUUCCUAUUUAGUGAAUCUUAUUUUUUGGCGGUAUUAGAUAUGUGUUUGUAGUGAAAAGUAUAGAUAAUGAUGCCCACAAUCCUAAUAUAAGGUUAUAAGAAUAAAAAAUGGCAAAUUUAUCUUUAUAGAAAUUGAAGUAUGUACAAAAUAUAUAUACAUGUAAUUUAUUCAUUUUGAUUAUGAUUUUUAAACAUUGACUUGUUAAUUAUUAGGUUAUAGUAUUGUGUAAUAAGUAUUAAUCAUGGAUUAUCUGAAUGAUCGAGAAGUUUCCCGGUAGUGGGUCGAGGAAGAACAUGUUCGCAAAGAUUUUUUUGUUUUUUUUUUUAACAUAAUCUCUUGUUUUUAUGUUUGGUCAUACCGUGAAACAUACGACAAAAUGAAAGUAUGACACACAGAUGUAUUUAUAAUAUUUUGUAUAUCAUUUUGUCGUAUAAUACAUUACGGCCAAUAAUAUUUUAAUUUUACAAUAAAUUAUCAUUUAAACUAUAGAAAAAUAUAAAAUGUGUGUUUAUUUUUGAAUUAAAAAAUAAUAUCAACAAUAGUCAAUAAUAGUACA